GACAUCCAGAGAAUUUAGCAGAGAUGCUUUAGUGGCCUUCGGGAACUCUGAGACAGGUGCUGCAUGGCUGUCGUCAGCUCGUGUUGUGAAAUGUUGGUUAAGUCCGCAACGAGCGCAACCCUUAUCCUUUGUUGCCAGCACGUAAUGGUGGGAAACUCAAAGGAGACUGCCGGUGAUAAACCGGAGGAAGGUGGGGAUGACGUCAAGUCAUCAUGGCCCUUACGAGUAGGGCUACACACGUGCUACAAUGGCGCAUACAAAGAGAAGCGACCUCGCGAGAGCAAGCGGACCCCAUAAAGUGCGUCGUAGUCCGGAUUGGAGUCUGCAACUCGACUCCAUGAAGUCGGAAUCGCUAGUAAUCGUAAAUCAGAAUGUUACGGUGAAUACGUUCCCGGGCCUUGUACACACCGCCCGUCACACCAUGGGAGUGGGUUGCAAAAGAAGUAGAUAGCUUAACCUUCGGGAGGGCGUUUACCACUUUGUGAUUCAUGACUGGGGUGAAGUCGUAACAAGGUAGGCGUAGUGCU
rnacentral:rRNA from 1 species